UACGUAGGGUGCAAGCGUUGUCCGGAAUUAUUGGGCGUAAAGAGCUCGUAGGCGGUCUGUCGCGUCGGCUGUGAAAACCCGAGGCUCAACCUCGGGCCUGCAGUCGAUACGGGCAAACUAGAGUACUGCAGGGGAGACUGGAAUUCCUGGUGUAGCGGUGAAAUGCGCAGAUAUCAGGAGGAACACCGGUGGCGAAGGCGGGUCUCUGGGCAGUAACUGA
rnacentral:rRNA from 1 species